GAGAGAGAGAGAGAGAGCAUUUCCUGCUCUCUUUGGUUUGCUCUUUUAGUUUUAAUGACUAUGCUACAAAACGUCUCUGCGUUUAUUUGAACGUGUUGUUUUGUUCUUCAUUAUGAGUUGGUGUUAGCUCGUUUUUUUCUCCAUAUGACUGUUUUGAUUUCAUUUAUUCAUUUUUUUUGUUUGUGUGUGUGUGCAUCGAAUUUAAAUAUUGCGACAAUAUGAAAUUCAACGGAUAUCUGAGGCUGCGUAUCGGGGAGGCGGUGGAUUUAAAACCAACAACGUAUUCGACUCGCCACACUUUUCACAAGAAAAUCGUCCUGGAUCCGUAUGUCGUUGUUAAAAUCGAUAAUCUGAAAGUUGGACAGACCGCCACAAAAUCGAAAACCAACAAACCGACCUUCAACGAUGAAUUCUGCCCGUACAUUACAAACGGCAAAGAGCUGGAGCUGGCCGUUUUCCACAACACUCCUAUAGGAUACGACAACUUUGUCGCCAAUUACAGAAUCCAGCUCGAUGAGCUGAUAACGUCGUCAAACCCAAGACAAACGUUUGAAGGAUGGGUGAAUCUGGAACCAGAGGGAAGUGUGUAUAUCUCCAUCUCUCUCACCGGCUCCUUUACAGAUGAUGAAGCUGUGAAUGGACUGAAACCUCAUAAAAAGUUUACAAGAAAAAGGCAAAAAGCUCUGAAGAAAAGAAAGGUCCACCAAGUCUAUGGACACAAGUUUAUGGCAACCUUCCUUCCCCAGCCUACUUUUUGUUGCCAUUGCAGCAACUUUAUCUGGGGUGUUUUUGGAAAGCAAGGUUAUCAGUGUCAAGUGUGUGCCUGUGUGGUUCACAAGAGGUGUCAUGAUUUGGUUGUAAGUGAGUGUACACGUAUGAAGAAAGAUUUAAAUGAGGGCCAAAGACAGGGCUUUAGCAUCAACCUACCUCACCAGUUUAGGGAGCACAACUACAAAGUUCCCACAUAUUGUAACCACUGUGGAUCUUUGCUUUACGGCCUGAUAAAACAGGGGCUCCAAUGCAAGAGUUGCAAGAUGAACAUCCACAAACGCUGUGAACAGAAUGUUGCACUUAACUGUGGGGUGAACAGUGCUGAGCUGGCCAGCAAAUUGUCUGAGAUCGGAUUGCUUAACACUCUUUCUAAAAGGAAAUCUCAGAGUUCUCUGCACAUGACAGGAAUAAAGUGUCAGAACUCUAUUAAAGGUGUGCAGCCGACAUCCGAAGAGUCAGAGGAAGAUGCUGUUAAAGUCGGUCUGGAAGACUUCAGUUUCUUGCAGGUUCUGGGAAAAGGCAGCUUUGGCAAGGUGAUGCUGGCUCGCCUAAAAAGUGACCACAGGGUGUUUGCUGUAAAAAUGCUGAAGAAGGAUGUCAUACUACAAGAAGAUGAUGUGGAAGCAACCAUGAUUGAGAAGAGAGUGCUAACUCUGGCUCACCAGCAUCCAUUUCUUACACAGCUCUACUACUGCUUUCAAACUGCGGAGCGGUUAUUCUUUGUCAUGGAGUUUGUGAAUGGCGGCGACCUAAUGUUCCACAUCCAGAAGUGCAGGCGCUUUGACGAGCCACGAGCACGCUUUUAUGCCGCAGAGAUCAUUUCGGCCCUUAUGUUCCUUCACUCCGAAGGCAUCAUUUACAGAGACCUCAAACUGGACAAUAUUCUCCUGGACAGAGAUGGCCACUGCAAACUGGCAGAUUUUGGCAUGUGCAAAGAGGGUAUACGUGAGGGAAAACUCACUAGUACCUUCUGUGGGACUCCCGAUUAUAUUGCACCCGAGAUCAUCCUGGAGGACCCCUAUGGAGUAUCAGUGGACUGGUGGGCUCUGGGUGUGCUUCUUUACGAGAUGCUGUCCGGCCAUGCUCCAUUUGAAGCAGAGACUGAGGACGAGUUGUUUGAGUGCAUCCUCAAAGAUGAGAUCAUUUAUUCAUCUUGGCUCAGCAACGAGGCGGAGGACAUCCUUAGAGGAGUGAGUCUAGAUCUAUUUAAUCUAUUUAACCAGAGCAAUGAAGACACUUGUAGCUCACUUGUAGCUAGAUUAUAGCUUCAUAUGUAAACACAGUAGCAAGUACGUUUGUCUUUUUGUCUACAUUGACUCUCAGGCAGCUGUGUUGGGAAAUCUGUGACUUUCCUGGCAGUGACGUCUUAUUAAACAAUCCUCUUCCUCUUCUGUUCUGAUCACUCAUUGCCAAAACAUUUAUAUCAAAACUACUCAGUGGCAUUUCAUGCCGAAACAUGACUUGGUCUUCAGCUUUACCCACCAGAAAAAAAACUCAAAUCUGGCUUCAUUUAAGAGCUUCAAGUAACCAUGUUUCUUGGCUAAUGCAGCCGAGAGACUUUUCUGUGGGUUUUGGCCGGCGCUAUGUAAGCACCAGUAAACAUGAGGCUGAUCUGCUGCGGAGAGCAUGCUGUUUCAUUCCUCAAAAGGCCCAGGAUGUCAGGAUCACAAGCUGUCUCUGUCCUUUGUGCCUCGUUACAUAAGCUCCAUUGUACCCCAUUAAGGGUUAAAGAGCUGUGUCAUGGUAGAAGGAUUAACGUCAUGUGAUUGAGUAGAGGUCUUCUCGCAUUAGUGGAGUAAAAUCCCUAAUAAACCUGUUUCCAAGGGCUCGAGUCGGUGAUCUGUGCAUUACUCACCAGAGACCCGGCGUGUCGGCUGGGCUGCAUGGAGAGAGAUGGAGAAGAGGCCAUCACUACACACCGGUUCUUCACAGGACUGGACUGGGAGAAGCUGAACAGACGAGAGAUUGCACCGCCUUUCACACCUCG